rnacentral:lncRNA from 1 species
ACUGGGUUGUUCUUUACUUCAAUUAAUAGACACAUUCAUGCAUUUGUAUCAUAUGACUAUGCUGAGCUUGGAUUAAGUCUUGGGGGGAAUAGAGAAUUACUCUAGGGUAUUGCCUCUACCAUUAAGUUGCCUGUGAUCUUUUGGAAGAUUCUUGCAGGGGAGCUGGUCACAACAAUAAGACACAAAAGGUGGUUUGUGAUAAUUUGCCUGACUAAAUUGUCACUUGGUGAAGGAAAUGUACUUCAGGUGCCUUGAAGAAAGUGUUGGAUCCACCCAGCACUCUAUGGACUUUAACUCCAAGUGAAGUUAAGGGGAGACAUCACCCAAAUUGCCUCCCACUUUCUCACUUCCUGUCUCACUUCUUUUUCAAUUAUCAUAAGUAUCAGAUAAACACCCCUUAGAGAGCUCCACUUCCAGAGUGCAGAAAAUACCGGCAUGGUCAGCCGCACAAUGAAUUUGUAAGUUCUCUUGCCUGUGCAGUCCUUCCUACUAAUAUUAGCUUAUAGUCAAGCAUUCCUUAAAUAUUUAUCAGUAGCUUAAAUAUUAACAAAAGCCAUUGUCUCCUUGGGCAGCACAAGGAUUGUAUUCCCAUCCUAGCUUGUCAAUGGGAAAAAAAGAAAAUACAUUUGAAGCAGGGAAACAUUAGCUUCCAUCCACAACUGUAAAAUGUAGGUGAUUGUUCUCUUCCUGCACAAGGAGGUAAAAGAGACUACCCGAAGCCAUUUGCUUCUGGAAUUUUUGGAAUAUGAACACAAGCACAUGAAGCCAGCCUGGCAUAUGGAUGAGUAAAUUACUCCAUCCAAUGCUUGGGGUAUUCUCUUCCUCCCUCUGAAUGAAUAAUUUACUGGUAUUGUACCUGCUGUUUCCAAGUGCACAUUAAUGAUUUAUUUCUUGUUCUUAAAAACAGAUGCUUAUAACUAAAGCACAGGUUCUAUAAGAUCAUUAAGGAGUCCACUAAUGGUUGGAAGAAUUAAAGUGAAAGUGGGUGGUGUGAAUCCUCAGAUGAAUAGACAUUUUCUGUACAAAUUGUACCAAUUUUGUAUAUUGCUACCACAGAGAAAUUUCUCUUCUUAUAAGUGUUCUGUCGUGUGAAACCUGUUUCAUUCCCCCUAUGCUUAGCAAAUUUAUAGUUAAGUUCCAGAGGAAUUCUGGCUUAGAGCAUAGCUUUGUUGUUCAUUUAGGUUCUUAUAGCUAUUUUGUCCUGUGUCUUCGUUACAAGGGUCUUGCCAAAAACAAAACAAAACAAAACAAAACAAGUGUAGAUGUUAAUGAAGCAGCAUUGAAUUAUUGUUUUAAAAUGCAUUAUUAAUCAUGCACAGUUUUCAGCAUCUGGGAAGUCCCAUGAACAAAUAAUUACAGGUAACAGUGUCUUGGGAUAUAUGGUAACAUUCAUUUCUACUGUUUUUGCUUCCGCCUUGCUGUCUGCUGAAAUUGCUAUUUACCUUUGUACAUGCUUGAAUUUUGAAGCUGAGAUGAUUCUGAAUUAUCUGAAUUGUCUUUCAUACAUACUGUGUGUCCUACAUAAGGAAAUUGGCUUGUGGAGAGCAAUGAAUAUGAUAGGCUACAAUCAUUUUCUUCUUGCAUCUGCCUCUGCAUCUAAAACUGAGGGGGUGCCUGCUACCCGAUUAAGUGUGUCUCUACGUGAGUACCUUUCCUCUCCUGUAUACAUGGGGUUUGCAUUCUGGGCUCUCCUUUUCUGUAUCCGUUCCAGUUAACAGCUUCUAGGAAACAUACAGGAGAUGCGGUGGACAAUACUUGAUUAAAUAUAUCUGGAAAUGAGCUAACCCUGAAACCAUUUCACUUACAAGCAAAACCAACUGAAAUGCUUUGACGAAUGUUUUUGGUGGAUUUGGGUCUGAGACAUGAGACCAUAAUCUCCUUAAAUGCACUGUCCUCGUUCCUCAAGGUACCAAUACUGAAUGCACAUAAUUGCAGGUUGCUCAAAAACUAUUAUAAAUGAAAUAAACUUUAGUGGCUUGUAAAGAAUGCUUACUGGCAUAUAUUACUGUGUUUAUUACCUGUGUGUCCAGUCUUGAGCCAUUGUCAUCAUGUAAUUUGCUUCACAGCUUUGUCGUCACUGCCUCCCAGAUGGAAAUACGAAACUGUUAACUCAUUCAGCACAUUUAACUCUGGGAAACAUUCUGUGUUAAGGUGGUAUGAGACUAAGCCAGCAUUGCCAGGCAAUACUGAGAUACAUUGGAAUGCAAUAAAGAAAUGUAGAUAUUACAGAUGACUCCUUCAUGCUACCCGUAUCCUCGUUUAUUAAUGGGAUAUACAAGCUAUUCUUGCAUCCUGUCACUGUCUGACAGUAUGAUGGUAACUCCAUCCAAGGCAGAAGUUUUAAGAGCCAAGGUAUUUUUAAAUGUUAUGGUGAUCUCCUAGGGGUCAUUAAAGCUCUAUAUAGUGAAUGACUAUCCUUACUAGUCUAGAGAGAAAAACAAAAUAAAAUAAAACUCUCCUUUUUUCUGCUGCUCCAAGAUUAUUUUCAUAGACAGUACAACACCCCAGCACACAGCACCCCUCUGGUACAAAACUGUUGGAAGAAAAGAAACUGGUGUCCUUCUGGAAUCUUCUAAAGCAACAGUGACAAUAAGUAAAGUUUUUAAGGUGGAGUGAGUAAAGUUUUUAAAGUGGAAUGCCAAUGUGUGAGUUUUAUCUAUGUCUUCUCCAAAAGAUAAUUUUGGCCAGACUUAAAAGACUCAAAAGUUUCUCUACGCAGCCUCGAUCAUAAACUUUGCUUCAGCUGUGGCAGCUUGGAUUCAUUACCACUUAGUGGUAGCACUAUUUAAACAUUAAUAUUCCUAAUAUGAAAAGCUAUUAUAAGUAUAUAUGGAUUUAUAUACACAUUGAUGACUAUAAUGCAUUUUUAUACUAGAAAAAACACACGGAAAGAAAAAUCAAUCAGAUGAAUGCUGUUAAUUAUUUUAAAUUUUUUAUUAGGUAUAAAAUGUUCAUACAAAUAUUCUCUGUAUAUCUUACCAAGAUUUAUCAGCUUGUAUAAUUUUUAUAAUCAGAAGAGUCUGGUUUUCUAAUUAAAGUUUUGUCAA